AGAGUUUGAUCCUGGCUCAGAACGAACGCUGGCGGUAUGCUUAACACAUGCAAGUUGAACGAACAUUUGGGGCUUGCUCCAAAUAGUGAGUGGCAAACGGGUGAGUAACACGUGGGAAUCUACCCAUCAGUACGGAAUAGCAUUUGGAAACAGAUGAUAAUACCGUAUAUUCUCGUAAGAGGAAAGAUUUAUCGCUGAUGGAUGAGCCCGCGCCUGAUUAGGUAGUUGGUGGGGUAAUGGCCUACCAAGCCUUCGAUCAGUAGCUGGUCUGAGAGGAUGAUCAGCCACACUGGGACUGAGACACGGCCCAGACUCCUACGGGAGGCAGCAGUGGGGAAUAUUGGACAAUGGGCGAAAGCCUGAUCCAGCAAUACCGCGUGAAUGAUGAAGGCCUUAGGGUUGUAAAGUUCUUUUAGCAGGGAAGAUAAUGACGGUACCUGCAGAAAAAGCCCCGGCUAACUCCGUGCCAGCCGCCGCGGUAAUAC
rnacentral:rRNA from 1 species